UGUUCCAGCUCGGGCUUAUCUGCACUAUGAAACCUGAAUAUCAGCAGGGCUUCGGGGAUGAGGCUGCCCUGGCUCCCUCAGCACAGAACAUUCAACCAGGGAUUGUGCUGCGAGUGCUGCUGCUCUGUUUUUCUCUGGUGCAAAAGCCAAAGGAUGAACCCUUGUUUUACUGAACACGGGUCUCCUUAGGACAGCCUAUGAGCUGUUAUGGGGAAGAAAAAAACCCCAGAAUGAAGUGAAAACUGGUUUGUCAGGAGAGAGUUGGAGGCUGCUCUGUGUCCCCCUCACCCUGGCCAAGGCUGGUGCAGUCCCUGAGGGGAUACCCGGUGUCCCCAUGGAGCAUUCAGCCCAUCCAGACUUAAAGUGCCCAAGAAUCCCAAGACAGUGGUUGGGCCCUGGCACAGGUUGUGCAAGGCAG